UUCGGUGGGGAAACAACUUUUGCAUAAACAAAUGGAAGAAGAAAAAAAGGUUGCUGUAAAAGAGGUCGUUACGGAGGAUAUAGUUACGGGUGAUCAACAGGAUUUCCAAUCCGAAUAUCCACGUUUGGCUGCAUCAUUUGAAAGUAUGUCUGGCAUGUUUACUAUUUACCCAAAUGGAACAAGUUUUUUGAAGGAAAAGAUGAGUUUGAUUGCUCCUGACAAGGCUAAAGUAUUGGAGGAGAAGUGGAAGAAACUG
rnacentral:misc_RNA from 1 species